GAGACACCCUUCUGGGGCAAGACUUGCUUCAGUCGGGCUUUGGUGCUCACUGAGUCUUCCCCCUGAGUGUGUCCCU
rnacentral:pre_miRNA from 1 species